rnacentral:lncRNA from 1 species
CGUCUGACUGGACUCGCGGCGACUUACCUUUCAGUCGUGCGCUCCUGAUCCGGCGCUCGGAAUUUGUCCCCGGCUUCAGGGCUGCGGGGCCUGGAAGGAGGCGUAUCGAGGCGGCUCGAAAACGAUCCAGGGGAGCCGAGGCGCUCCUCUUGUCAUCCCACUCAGCGCCAUGUCCUGGAUGUUCAAGAGGGAUCCAGUUUGGAAGUACUUGCAGACUGUCCAGUAUGGAGUUCAUGGAAAUUUUCCACGCCUCUCAUAUCCAACUUUCUUUCCACGUUUUGAAUUCCAAGAUGUUAUCCCUCCAGAUGACUUUCUAACUAGUGAUGAAGAAGUAGAUUCCGUUUUAUUUGGAAGUUUGAGAGGUCAUGUGGUUGGACUACGCUAUUACACGGGAGUAGUUUUGGCAUGUUGUCCAGGCUGAUCUGGAACUCCUGGGCUCAAGUGAUCCGUCCGCCUUGGCCUCUCCAAGUGCUGGGAUGCUGCACCCGGCCUCUAAUUUUU